rnacentral:rRNA from 1 species
GACGAACGCUGGCGGCGUGCUUAACACAUGCAAGUCGAACGGAAAGGCCCUGCUUUUGUGGGGUGCUCGAGUGGCGAACGGGUGAGUAACACGUGAGUAACCUGCCCUUGACUUUGUGAUAACUUCAGGAAACUGGGGCUAAUACCAGAUAGGAGCUCCUGCUGCAUGGUGGGGGUUGGAAAGUUUCGGCGGUUGGGGAUGGACUCGCGGCUUAUCAGCUUGUUGGUGGGGUAGUGGCUUACCAAGGCUUUGACGGGUAGCCGGCCUGAGAGGGUGACCGGCCACAUUGGGACUGAGAUACGGCCCAGACUCCUACGGGAGGCAGCAGUGGGGAAUAUUGCACAAUGGGCGGAAGCCUGAUGCAGCAACGCCGCGUGCGGGAUGACGGCCUUCGGGUUGUAAACCGCUUUCGCCUGUGACGAAGCGUGAGUGACGGUAAUGGGUAAAGAAGCACCGGCUAACUACGUG